UACGUAGGCAGCAAGCGUUGUUCGGAGUUACUGGGCGUAAAGGGUGUGUAGGCGGUUCUUAAGUUUGGUGUGAAAUCUCCCGGCUCAACUGGGAGGGUGCGCCGAAUACUGAGGGACUAGAGUACGGGAGAGGAAAGUGGAAUUCCUGGUGUAGCGGUGGAAUGCGCAGAUAUCAGGAGGAACACCAAUAGCGAAGGCAGCUCGCUGGGACGUUACUGACACUGAGGCGCGAAAGCGUGGGGAGCGAACAGG
rnacentral:rRNA from 1 species